AGGAAAACGGAAGAAAAACCUAAAAGAGAAUUUAGUCUUCUUUGGGGAGUCAACAAAAACGGCUGCUAGAGGGGAGAAAAGAGGAGAAUUUGGACGGCUGCUGGCAGGAAGAAAUUGAGUAACAGUAGGGCUGCCGAACUAUAUUAUAUAUAUACACAUUGGGAGGCCGCUAACGGAGUUGCUGGGGAAUUAAAAAGGCAGCUGCUUGGAGGAAAAUAAAAGUUGGCGUUGAAAGUCAGGCAUUGCAGGCUGUGGGAAGAAAGGAAGGGAAGAAUUCUUGGGGCUUUGCUUUGGAAUUCAAUCACAGUGGCAGCCAAAUUAAAGGAAGCAAAACGGGAGAAUAAUCUAGAGAAAAUUGGUCCCUUUUUGGAGUUAAAAAAAAAAAAAAGGAUGCAACUGGGGAAAUUAAUUAGAGAUAAAUACAUACAAGAAGAGGCGCUUGGGGGGUCAACAUAGAUAAAUACAAGCUGUUGAAAUUGGGCAGUAAAAAAGGGCAGAGCUGCUGGGAAAGAAGGCAAAGAAAAAGGCUGAUUUGGCUGAUUUAUAUAUAUAUAUACAGCAAUUGCGGCAGAAAAUUUAAAGGAAUUGGAGACUAAUCUAUAGACAAAAAGGCAGCCAAUUGGGGGAUUAAUACACAUUGAUACACACGGAACCGAGAGGAAGAAAAACCAUAGAAAAGCUGGUUGGAAAUAAGAGAUUUCACAUUGGAUUCGAAGAAAGGCUGCCGGCUGAGUUUUUUGUGCAACUUUCUUCAAUAAUUGUGCAAGGAGCUUGAAAAUUGAAUCACUUCCCGUCGAUUUUCGACUGGAAUGGCAUACGCAAUGAAAUUUUCUCACAUAAGCAAUAGGGACUUGGUCAACAUGACGAAUAAGAGGGUGAAUGUUAUUCCUUUUUUUGAAUCAUUUUUGCAAACUACGUUGAGAAAGACCAACCUCCUAUGUACCAUAUUCUUUUUGUACCUCGAAAGGGAGAGCGGGACCAUGCAUGUUGCCGCCAGAAGCAGAACCCCAUAUUUCUUCUAUCAUGAUUAAUCUUCCAUCUACUCAUCCAUCUACAGAUAGUGUGUGUGCAUAAUCUGAACAAGGUGCUGCUCAUGCCAUUAUAUGAGGGAAAAUAGACUUGGAAAAGGAAUCGUGGCCAAGCAUUCAGAAAGUGUCAAGAGUCUUGUGUGAAAGAUAUUGGAGCCACAUCCUAAACUUCGACUCACUACAAAACAAUUUCUGGGUAAAAUAUUGUUCGCGUUUGCUAAGUUAUUUAAAAAAUAUAAAAUCCUAUUCAUUAUGCUGUAAA